AAAAAAGCGCUGGUUCUGAUGCAAGUUAACUUCGAAGGCAUCGGACCAGCGAGCUGAUUAAACAUUAACCUCGUCGAUAGGAGAGGGGAAGUUGCGAGUUGGUGGCACGAACAAAUCUGAUGAACGCUCCGGAGGUGGCAAAGAAAUUCAAUUGAGAUCUCACCAAUUCUGAGACGAAAAAUGAAAGUGUUCUGAUGCAAAUGGAUCUCAGAAAAUCUGUAUGACGGACGAACAAAUGGCGAAGCAACGUCGCCGUUGUAACAUCCGUGGAACCGACACGGCUGGAGUUAAUAUUCAUUUUCACUCUCAGAACAUACACGGAUAUUAACUUUGAAAUAUAAAUGUUAAAAUGAAGAAAGAUAUGGAUAAAAACAGAGAGGCUACACUGUUGACGGUGACUUUGACUUGUUGGCGAUUGUCUGCCGACAAAAUGGCACGGUGGUGAGGGACUAUCGUUAAGAAAACGACUCAACAAGUGUAGCAAAGAGGAGAGGAUACGCUACUCA